CUCGUCGUAGGUCCUACCUUAUGCUGGGGCAGUUCUAGAAAAGAAUCACCACCUUGCUUUUUGAAACUGGGGAUUUUAAAAAAAUCAAGUUUGUAGCUGUUCUGCUUCAGGAAGAAGCCCCCAUGGUAUCUGGAACUGCCAUCAAGGAGAUCUCUGGUGAAGUGAUCUGUUCCAUCUGCUUAGAAUAUUUCACAGACCUGGUGAUUCUUGUAGGCUGUGGGCACUGCUUCUGCCAAGCCUGCCUCACCCAGUACUGGCCGGACUCUGAUACAGAGUUUUCCUGCCCUCACUGCAAAGGAGUAGUUUGAGAAAGGAACUUCAAGCCGAACCGGUCACUGGCAAACAUUAACAUUGUCAAACUGGAGGAAGAAGAAAGAGCAGAAGAGAAAACUGUGUGCAAGGAAGAGGAAGAUCCCGUUGCCUUGGGAUAUGAGAAAUCCGGGGAGCAUCGGGCUGAUGGCGAAUUUCCUGUGGAUGAGACAUCCCAAGAGAGUAAGAUGACUGAAAGUGAAGGGACAGGAACCAUCAACGGCCGCAAGGGCCGUGGCGUUUCAUGGCGACACAAGGAGACCUUGGAUCUACUGGAUAUCUGGGGAGAGCAGAAGAUCCAGGACCAGCUCCGAAGCAGCCACCGGAAUAUUGAUUUUUUUGAGUACAUUGCCCAGGAGAUGACCACCCGAGGCCACCAUCGUACUGCCGUAGAGUGCCGUUCCAAGACCAAAAUCAUGCGGCUGGAGUAUAAGCGUGUGAUUGGUCACAAUUCCAGGGCAGGGAGCAAUAAGGUGACUUGCCCUUUCUACAAGCAACUGCACCGCAUCCUUCGUGGAGAUGCCAGCGUCAGACCCAAGCGGGUUUCACGAAGCCUGAAUUUCAAACAGGGCCCACAGCAAGAAGCUGUACCAGAUCCCCCAGUUAUGGAGGAGCAGUUCUCUCCUGGGGAUCUAAACAUAAUUAACAUUGGAGACUAUCUCAAAAAGGAAAGCAUAGACAACGUGGCAGACGGAACGGUGGCUGUUCAUGGCAACGAGGAAGAACUGCUAAAUGUGGGGAAUUUUACACAAACUGAGGAGGAAGAGAGCAAUGGAGGCAGUGGAAGAGAUCUGGAUUUGCAGAGACCCCAACUCAGCCCUGGAGCUCAUGUUCCCCCAGAUACUGUCGAACCUCCUGCUGUCCCUUCAAAGGAACCCGAGCCUCCCACCACUCGACUCUCCUUGAUUAGGAACAAAAAGAAGAGGGAAAGGGCAGAGAGCAUGUUUCAGCUCUUCAUGGAGCAGGCCCGAGAGGACUCCCAAAAAGAGCAGGAGGAGAUGGCGCGGGACAGAGUUGUACUGGCCAGGUUUCUGACGGCAUUUGAGCGAGACGCCGCAGACAGCCGAGAGGAGAGGAGGCCGUGCCUGGAGGCGAUGCGUGCCAACUGCGAUAUGUUGCAGGGCAUCGUGAAUGGCUUAAACAAGCUGACGGACGCCAUCGCCGGCCAGCAGCAAGCCAGCACCGGGAGCCAAGCUAGACCCCCCUUGCAUUCGGCCACUCACAAAGAUUUGCCCCUCAAUUCCACUCUGGGCGCAAGGAGUGGCUUACUCCAAGAAGUGCCACGUUCAUACCCUACCAGCAAUGCCAGUGCGGCACCAAAAAGCGGCUCUCGGAAGCCUAGCCAUGGGACUCACCCUCUUCCAAGGGUGAUGUGUAAUCUCGGGUAACAGAUGACAAAGUGUCUUUGUUAAGAUUUCGUGACAAUGAAAGGUAGACCAGGCUAAGGGAGAAGGAAGUUGGGGAAAGCGGGAAGCUUUGGAAGAGGGCCCUUCCAGAAGUGUGGAAGCUUGGUGGCUUUUGCAGAUAGACAAGUCUGAAGCCCAAGGAUACCUGCAUGCACUAGGCGGGAAAUCACAGCGUACUUAAAGUAGCUUUCUCUUUAUGCUGUACCGGCCAGUGCUUCCAGGCAGAGCCACCUCCCAUCGUCCCCAGGAUUUUCUCUCGGCAGGUGCUAAAACAGCAAAGAAAACCAACUUCCAUCAGGGAGGGCCAUUCUGACAAUGAGGUGGAGAACACAUUGGCUUUCCAUCAGCCUGAGCCAAAGUGAACACAGGUGGGGGAUGAGGAGAGUUGCAGUCCACUACCCAAAGGUUUCUGACCCCUUUUUUUCUAAAACAUAAAUCUCAUUUCACCCUUCCCCCCCCCAAAAAAAAAUCCAUUAUGAUCAGUGGACCACAAUCUCUGGUUAACCCCAUGUAGGUGAGACUCUCUCUCUUUCUCUCUUUCUCCCCCCCCCCCCUUUCUCCUAGGCACACCCUUGUGUGUGUAUAUUAGAGAAAAUUUGCGAAGUAGUUGGUUCCCAGUCAUCCCAGUUUUGGCCUCUGAUCUGCCCCAUCGGUCUAAUUGAAGGGGGCUGGUUGUGAGGGGACAGACUCCCCCUCAGAGUGUUCUUCUAAAGUCGGGGAGCAAACCAAGUCUUCUUCGACGUGCUCAGACAUAACACCGUGCAUGAGCUCCUUACCCUAUUAAAACAGCCAGUUUCUUUAGAGGUCUCAGGCGGUGGAAAAUAUGGCGGGUGAUAUCUCUGGACGUUUCAUAGCUGUCCAUCUUGAAUUAUAGCACGUUGGGUGGGAUAGGCUAUAUACUGAAGUGUUUCUUGGGGGAACGCAGUGAACCAGGUCUUUCCACGUUGAUGGAAACCUUUCAGCGAUCCUGUGAAGGCACUUU
ensembl:lncRNA uncharacterized LOC110070251